GAUGAACGCUGGCGGCGUGCCUAAUACAUGCAAGUCGAGCGAACGGACGAGAAGCUUGCUUCUCUGAUGUUAGCGGCGGACGGGUGAGUAACACGUGGAUAACCUACCUAUAAGACUGGGAUAACUUCGGGAAACCGGAGCUAAUACCGGAUAAUAUUAUGAACCGCAUGGUUCAAAAGUGAAAGACGGUCUUGCUGUCACUUAUAGAUGGAUCCGCGCUGCAUUAGCUAGUUGGUAAGGUAACGGCUUACCAAGGCAACGAUGCAUAGCCGACCUGAGAGGGUGAUCGGCCACACUGGAACUGAGACACGGUCCAGACUCCUACGGGAGGCAGCAGUAGGGAAUCUUCCGCAAUGGGCGAAAGCCUGACGGAUCAACGCCGCGUGAGUGAUGAAGGUCUUCGGAUCGUAAAACUCUGUUAUUAGGGAAGAACAUUUGUGUAAGUAACUGUGCACAUCUUGACGGUACCUAAUCAGAAAGCCACGGCUAACUACGUG
rnacentral:rRNA from 1 species